CAUAGUAUUUAUGUACAGAUGUUGGGUUCACCUGUAUACUAUUUCUCUGGCAUCCCUGAUGUAGUCUGAACUCUUUCAGUCAAGAGAAAUAUGCCUUGAAACGGUCCCAGUAAAAAUGUAGAGAUGUGUUUAGUGCAUCAGCUAUUUAAUCCACGAGGAUUCACAUAUACACAGAAAGAAGUCUGAUGACUGAGUCAAAAAUUGCCUGUUGGGAGACCCUGAGAUCCUGUUUGAACUGAAUGUCAAUCAAGUAUGGUGGGCCAAUAGGUCAAACUCAACCUUCCUCUUGCACAUACGUUGGCUGUUCUAGGACUCAGUGGUCAUUGAGGGUGUGGCUGUGCACUUCACCCAGGAGGAGUGGGCUUUGCUGGAUUCUGUGCAGAGGGAUCUCUACAGAGAUGUGAUGCUGAAGACCUUCCGGGACCUGGCCUCCAUUGGAAAAAUUUGGAAGAUUUUACCUUUGAAGAUCAGCGCACAAGCCAGGGGGAAACCCAAGAAAUGAAACAGUGGAGAGAUUCUGUGGAAGUAAU